rnacentral:rRNA from 1 species
AUUGAACGCUGGCGGCAUGCUUUACACAUGCAAGUCGAACGGUAACAGGCCGCAAGGUGCUGACGAGUGGCGAACGGGUGAGUAAUGCAUCGGAACGUGCCCAGUCGUGGGGGAUAACUACUCGAAAGAGUAGCUAAUACCGCAUACGAUCUAUGGGUGAAAGCGGGGGGCCGUAAGGCCUCGCGCGAUUGGAGCGGCCGAUGUCAGAUUAGGUAGUUGGUGGGGUAAAGGCUCACCAAGCCAACGAUCUGUAGCUGGUCUGAGAGGACGACCAGCCACACUGGGACUGAGACACGGCCCAGACUCCCACGGGAGGCAGCAGUGGGGAAUUUUGGACAAUGGGCGCAAGCCUGAUCCAGCAAUGCCGCGUGCAGGAAGAAGGCCUUCGGGUUGUAAACUGCUUUUGUACGGAACGAAACGGCUCUGGUUAAUACCCGGGGCUAAUGACGGUACCGUAAGAAUAAGCACCGGCUAACUACGUG